rnacentral:rRNA from 1 species
UACGUAGGGUGCAAGCGUUAAUCGGAAUUACUGGGCGUAAAGCGUGCGCAGGCGGUUCGUUAAGACAGAUGUGAAAUCCCCGGGCUUAACCUGGGAAUUGCAUUUGUGACUGCCCGGCUAGAGUGUGUCAGAGGGGGGUAGAAUUCCACGUGUAGCAGUGAAAUGCGUAGAGAUGUGGAGGAAUACCGAUGGCGAAGGCAGCCCCCUGGGAUAACACUGACGCUCAUGCACGAAAGCGUGGGGAGCAAACAGG